UACGUAGGGUGCAAGCGUUAAUCGGAAUUACUGGGCGUAAAGCGUGCGCAGGCGGCUUUGCAAGACAGAUGUGAAAGCCCCGGGCUCAACCUGGGAACUGCAUUUGUGACUGCAUGGCUAGAGUGCGGCAGAGGGGGAUGGAAUUCCGCGUGUAGCAGUGAAAUGCGUAGAUAUGCGGAGGAACACCGAUGGCGAAGGCAAUCCCCUGGGCCUGCACUGACGCUCAUGCACGAAAGCGUGGGGAGCAAACAGG
rnacentral:rRNA from 1 species